ACCCUUGAGGUUGAUAAGAGAUGUUCAAGGUAUCGAGCAUACCAUCUAACCCAUGAAGAUAAUUCCCAAGCUAUGGGCGUGGUGUUAUCUCUAAAGCUUGAAAGUUUGAGGUAGUUUCUGCCGCCUGUGGAAGGAUAAACAGAAAGCUGGUCUUGGAGGAUAAAACUACCAUCCUUGAUGAUGUGAUGCACGAUGGCAAGGCACUUGAUAGCGACGGAGGAGUCAUGGGUAGACUGCAGCCUGUCCAUAAGGGCCUCAAUUGCAGCGGCAGCGGUGGCGCGUGAGCUGUAGCCAUAGGAAAGCAUAGUGGUGAUGUGCUUUGGGUGUGGAGGAGUAAAUGGGUCGUGAGUUGUGGCUCUGAGGAGGGCUAAGUGGAGAGACAAGGUUUUGGGUUUAGAGAUUAUGGCUGCUUUGCUUUGAGAAGCCUUGUCUUUGAUUAUCCCUAUUAUGUCUCUAAGAUUUGUUGGGCG
rnacentral:misc_RNA from 1 species